AUGGAUCUUCGUUCAGUUAUUCUGUUCUGUGCCUCAGCAGUGGCUGUCUUUGGGAAUUUCAUUAAACCAAACAAAACAGAUGUUUUUGCUGAGGAAGGUUCAGGUGUUACAUUAUCCUGUAGUUUUUCUGCAUCUGGAGGUUCAGAUAAUCUCCACUGGUACCGUCAGUAUGGAAGAUCAAAACCAGUAUUUCUUGUACUUAUCUACAGCAAUGCAAAAGAAGCUCAGCAGUCUGAUGUAGAUCCAAGAUUCUCUGUUAAAGUUGAAAAAAGGGAGAAAAACCAUGUGGAUCUGGAGAUCUCCUCUGCUGCUGUAUCAGACUCUGCUCUGUACUACUGUGCUCUGCAGCCCACAGUGACAGGAAACAUAUCAGCUCUCUACAAAAACCUGUUACAAGGAGAGACAAGAGAGAAACACAAUAUUAAUCUAAUGCAAUGA